GAUGCUAGCACAACAUAAUCUCUUUUAUUACUCUGAUCAUCAUGCAUCUCAAAACACCAUCACAACACCAGGAAACACAUAUUUCAAAGUCUAGAUAGAUUCAGAUAACAAACCACAUAUUUCCAAGUCUAGAUUCAGAUAUGCGAUACUUCGCUACUUCGCUGAUGAAAGUUAAGAAACACGGUUUCACCAUAACAGAAGAAAUACUAGUACGUAGACUAUACUAAGAUAAGCAUGAUGAACUACUCCUGCAGUACUCCCGCCGCCGCCGUCGCUCCGCCACCUGCCUCCCCAGCACCGGCCUCGGCCCCGACCUGGACCCCGACUGCUUGGACCGCAGCCUCCGCCAACUGGCCGUUGAGGGCGAUGUUCUCUGUGGAGAGGUCGCUGGCGUCGAGAAGCCGAGUACCGAGGUUGUUGUGGCUCAUCCUCUGGAUGCCCUGCAGCAACACCUUGGCACCGUUCGUAGAGGAGACCGUCGCGGUCGUCGGCCUGAUGCGGUUGCGCUGGCCACGUCCAUGCGAAGGCUUGUUCUUCCCCAUCCUAAAAAGAUAAGAGACCAGAUGAAGAAAAUACUAUACGAGACAGUAAGAACCGAAGAAACAUGAUACUAGUAAUACAUUGAGAAUGAAAAGAGGUUAGAAACGAAGAACCUACUAAACUAGAGAGCAGGAGAGAGAGGAGUGAAAAAAAAAUCAGUGAAGAACCAUAGAGGAGAUUGUAAAACAAUAAUCGAACAAGAAAUAAUUUGGAGAUGGACCAUACGCCUGAACAGAACAAAUAAGGACGAGAUCAAACACAAAACUUCAUCUCGACAAUCUCAAUCAGAGGAAGGACCCACGAGAAAGGCUGCUGUUAAAAUCUUUUGAGAGAAAAAGGAAGAACAGCGGAUGGAGAGAGAGCCGAGAAACAGAAGAAACAGAAAUUAGUAUGAGGAAGGCAGAUGCUCACCUUGUGGGCAGAGGGACGAGAGGAACUGCGGGUGGAGAGGGACAGAGGGAGGGGGUUUUAUAGCCCGUGCGUCACCCCCGUUCAGGAGUGUUGAUUGCUUGUGUGAGUGGAUCGACACCGCCUUUUUCUCGAGAGCAUCUUUUCGUACGGAGGAGGGAGGGGUUGUUACAACUUGAAAACCAUGUGCACUCCGAGG
rnacentral:lncRNA from 1 species